AUUUUUUCAAAGUAUGCAAGUUGUUAUAAAAUAUUUGUUUGGUCGGGGAAUAUUCUUUUUGUCGGAGAAUAUCCAUAGGACGGCAUAAUCAUUGGUGGACCCCACAACGGAAGUAUUAUCAUAGUAAAGAAACGACAAAAUUAUCUUUUUAUAAAAAUAACAGCGAAAGUGUUACCGUUAAAACUGUUGAACUACUCGAUAGUAAAAGUACAGUAAUACGCGUGGUUGCAUAGUAGCACACGGUAUUGAUUAUUGAUGCUUACGUGAGAAGUUAC
rnacentral:lncRNA from 1 species